AGUCGAGCGGACCGACGGGAGCUUGCUCCCUUAGGUCAGCGGCGGACGGGUGAGUAACACGUGGGUAACCUGCCUGUAAGACUGGGAUAACUCCGGGAAACCGGGGCUAAUACCGGAUGCUUGAUUGAACCGCAUGGUUCAAUCAUAAAAGGUGGCUUUUAGCUACCACUUACAGAUGGACCCGCGGCGCAUUAGCUAGUUGGUGAGGUAACGGCUCACCAAGGCGACGAUGCGUAGCCGACCUGAGAGGGUGAUCGGCCACACUGGGACUGAGACACGGCCCAGACUCCUACGGGAGGCAGCAGUAGGGAAUCUUCCGCAAUGGACGAAAGUCUGACGGAGCAACGCCGCGUGAGUGAUGAAGGUUUUCGGAUCGUAAAACUCUGUUGUUAGGGAAGAACAAGUACCGUUCGAAUAGGGCGGUACCUUGACGGUACCUAACCAGAAAGCCACGGCUAACUACGUGCCAGCAGCCGCGGUAAUACGUAGGUGGCAAGCGUUGUCCGGAAUUAUUGGGCGUAAAGCGCGCGCAGGCGGUUUCUUAAGUCUGAUGUGAAAGCCCCCGGCUCAACCGGGGAGGGUCAUUGGAAACUGGGGAACUUGAGUGCAGAAGAGGAGAGUGGAAUUCCACGUGUAGCGGUGAAAUGCGUAGAGAUGUGGAGGAACACCAGUGGCGAAGGCGACUCUCUGGUCUGUAACUGACGCUGAGGCGCGAAAGCGUGGGGAGCGAACAGGAUUAGAUACCCUGGUAGUCCACGCCGUAAACGAUGAGUGCUAAGUGUUAGAGGGUUUCCGCCCUUUAGUGCUGCAGCAAACGCAUU
rnacentral:rRNA from 1 species